UACGUGGGGCCGCAGCACGCCGGCAACUACACCUGUCGCUACCGUGUGUGGUGGCCCCGGCACCUGCAGUCGGGGCUCAGCGACCCCGUGGAGCUGCUGGUGGCAGGAAGCUGACGCAGCUGACCGCGCCGCAAGUGCUGGCUCCUGUACUGCCUCCGCUUCAUAGCCACUGCGGUCGGCGCCCUAGGGCGGAGGGCUCCCUCCUUCCCCGUAGGACUUAAUAAAAGUGGAAGGAGUCCGCGUUUCUACCGCA